UACGAAGGGGGCUAGCGUUGCUCGGAAUCACUGGGCGUAAAGGGUGCGUAGGCGGAUGUGUCAGUCAGGGGUGAAAUCCCGGGGCUCAACCUCGGAACUGCCUUUGAUACAGCACGUCUCGAGUCCGGAAGAGGUGGGUGGAAUUCCUAGUGUAGAGGUGAAAUUCGUAGAUAUUAGGAAGAACACCGGUGGCGAAGGCGGCCCACUGGUCCGGUACUGACGCUGAGGUGCGAAAGCGUGGGGAGCAAACAGG
rnacentral:rRNA from 1 species